CUCACCUCCCCCACUCCUUCUCACCCUCGUGCCGCUGCCCCCGAGUCCCCGAGUGUUGCGCCGCCGCCUCCCGCACCACGACCCCCUCCGCCGCCGCCCCUCCUCCGCUACCCCCUCUUCCUCUUCCUGCUGCGGAAUCCUCCCUACGCCAUGGCGGCUAGGGUUUCCUAGUGCCGAGCCGAGGAGCUCAAGGGCCGGGUGUGGCCUCCAUGGAGGUAGUCCUCGAGCAGAUCUGGGUCCUCCACGCCUACCUCAGCGAGCCUCGUGUCCUUGUGCACCCACUUCCUCCUGCUCCGUCCGCCAAAGGGACCCGACGUGGUGACGACAGGGAGGUUACGGCGGUAGGUGCCGCAGCGCUGGCGGCGGCCGUGGCGCUAGGAGCCUGCACGUGAGUAUGCAUCCCUUUCACCCCUCUGUCCUCCCAAUUUCUUCCCAGCUAUACAAGUGAGUCAUGGACUCUUGAGUACAUAUCCUCUGCACAUGUCACUCAAACACAUUCCAUUUUCAUUCUGCCCGCUGUAGUAAUAUGUAAUUGUUUGAACUUUAUUUCUGAAUGCAUGGCUCCAUUCAAUUUUGGCUCAUAUCCCUGUUAAGAUACAAUGAACGUUUGUAUUUGUAUUGUCCUUUUCUUCAGGUUAUUUUCUAAUUGUAUAUUGCACAUCAUCAGCCAUGUCCCUAGGCUUCUGAUAUCCACCUGUAAUGCCAGAAAUUGGUCGUGGACCCAUUGGCGACUGCUGAACAGGUGAGGGUGCGGUAAACUGGCAUCAGGCUCUUAAGGUCCUCCCAGUGCGUUCCUUCGAUCUCGCCUUGAAGAUCUAUCAAGCUGACAAGGUCGCGUGCCCAUCAUGCCCAGGACGAGUCCCUAGGGGUGUACAGCCGGUGAAGAAGUUUGAGCAAAAGGCUUUUGUUCUGAACGGCCAGGUCCUUGAGGCCAAGUCCACCGUGCUCUUUUGUCUUGCAAUUUUUUUUUCAUUAGCUUUGACAUUGUCAGCAUGCACUGUUGUGAUUGAUUGAUGAAUACUUCUUUGGAAUGCUUCUUAGGUCAGCAGCUAAUGUUGCAACCUUUUAGAUGGAGACUAGAGGAAGGUUACCUUCUCAGUCUGUCAAGUGGGUGAAAGAUCAGCGGCCACAGGUUCAACUGACAGAUGCAUGGUUAGCUCCAUAAGAUUUGACAUUUGUUGUAAUCAAAGAUAUCAUCUCCCCUGCAUCUAUAGAUGCCUGACUAAGAGAAUGACACUACAAGCACAUCCUAUCUCGGCUGUUUAUUUUCCAAGCAGGUGUGAUAUCUCCUGUUCCGGCAAUAUGGACUCCCUGAUCUCUCACCACACCCUGCUGAUAAGGUAUUCUGUGAUUGGUGGGUGCAGAUCCAUGCUCAUCCUAGAAACAAGCCAUGACUGAAUGCGCCGCUCAUUUUAGGUGCUUGGAUGUUGUGGUGACACCGCAAUGAUCGUGUGUUUAAUGGAGUUUCCCAUAGUGAGUAGCAUGCAGGCUGUCCUCGUAUUCGAGGAAAAAAAUCAAUGGGCGAAAUGUUUUUACCCAGGACGGAGGGAGUAGAUGAGAACCUCAAGACUUUGAAGACUUGGUUGGAGAAUUUCUGGAGUCAAACGGAUGACAUGGAGAUUGAAGGUGUUAUCGGCUAAUAGACGUCUUGAGUGGUUUCUUUUUUUUUCAGUUUCGUGAUGGUUUGUUCAAGAGAGUUCUUUUGCUACUCUUCUGUUUCUGUAGCUCUGCUCUAGUUUCCGGUUCCCAGGAGGUGGUGCUGGCUAGCACGUUUCUUGUAAGCUGGAAUCCCCAGCAUCGUUUUUCCUUUUGUUUUCCUGUUAUGGCUACCUUGUGAUCGGAUGUUGAGCUUUCUAUAAAAGCUGGGUUUACCUC